rnacentral:rRNA from 1 species
CCGUAUAUCUAUUAGAGUAGAAGGAUGUGUAUUGAACAUUCUUGCUGUUGAUGGAUACGGAGAUUAGGUUCGAUUCCGGAGAGGGAGCAUGAGAAAUGGCUACUACAUCUAAGGGUGGCAGCAGGCGCGAAAAUUGCCCAAUACAGACUCUGUGAGGCAGUGACAAAACAUAACAAUGACGUGGUUGAUAAAACUAUGUCAAUUGGAAUGAGAACGAUUGAAAAGAUUUAACGAGAAACAAGAAGAGGGCAAGUCUGGUGCCAGCAGCCGCGGUAAUACCAGCUCUUCUAGCAUAUAUUAAAGUUGCUGCAGUUAAAACGCUCGUAGUUUGAAUUAUUUCGGCGUCAGGCUGGCUGGAAAAUUUAAUUUUUCAAGCUGUCUGGUGUCGAAUUAAAGCUUGGGCAGAGGCGAUUAAUUUCUCUCUGUCCAUUUAACCUUGAAAAAACAUUGUCGCUCAAAAAAGGACGGAAAGGUCUAUUGAGAUUUCAGCAUGGG